rnacentral:rRNA from 1 species
UACGUAGGUGGCAAGCGUUGUCCGGAUUUAUUGGGCGUAAAGCGCGCGCAGGCGGUCCUUUAAGUCUGAUGUGAAAGCCCACGGCUCAACCGUGGAGGGUCAUUGGAAACUGGGGGACUUGAGUGCGGAAGAGGAAAGUGGAAUUCCACAUGUAGCGGUGAAAUGCGUAGAGAUGUGGAGGAACACCAGUGGCGAAGGCGACUUUCUGGUCUGUAACUGACGCUGAGGCGCGAAAGCGUGGGGAGCAAACAGG